rnacentral:rRNA from 1 species
GAUCCUGGCUCAGGACGAACGCUGGCGGCGCGCCUAACACAUGCAAGUCGAACGGAGUUAUAUUGGCAGAAGUUUUCGGACGGACGCGGAUAUAACUUAGUGGCGAACGGGUGAGUAACACGUGAGCAACCUACCCUUCAGAGGGGGACAACAGUUGGAAACGACUGCUAAUACCGCAUAAGACCACGGUGUGGCAUCACACAGAGGUCAAAGGAGAAAUCCGCUGAAGGAUGGGCUCGCGUCCAAUUAGCUAGAUGGUGAGGUAACGGCCCACCAUGGCGACGAUUGGUAGCCGGACUGAGAGGUUGAUCGGCCACAUUGGGACUGAGACACGGCCCAGACUCCUACGGGAGGCAGCAGUGGGGAAUAUUGCACAAUGGAGGAAACUCUGAUGCAGCGACGCCGCGUGAGGGAAGAAGGUCUUCGGAUUGUAAACCUCUGUUGUCAGGGACGAUGAUGACGGUACCUGACGAGGAAGCCACGGCUAACUACGUGCCAGCAGCCGCGGUAAAACGUAGGUGGCAAGCGUUGUCCGGAAUUACUGGGUGUAAAGGGAGCGCAGGCGGGAGAGCAAGUUGGGAGUGAAAUCUGUGGGCUCAACCCACAAAUUGCUUUCAAAACUGUUUUUCUUGAGUGGUGUAGAGGUAGGCGGAAUUCCCGGUGUAGCGGUGGAAUGCGUAGAUAUCGGGAGGAACACCAGUGGCGAAGGCGGCCUACUGGGCACUAACUGACGCUGAGGCUCGAAAGCAUGGGUAGCAAACAGGAUUAGAUACCCUGGUAGUCCAUGCCGUAAACGAUGAUUACUAGGUGUGGGAGGAUUGACCCCUUCCGUGCCGCAGUUAACACAAUAAGUAAUCCACCUGGGGAGUACGACCGCAAGGUUGAAACUCAAAGGAAUUGACGGGGGCCCGCACAAGCAGUGGAGUAUGUGGUUUAAUUCGAAGCAACGCGAAGAACCUUACCAGGUCUUGACAUCCCGAUGACCGGUUCAGAGAUGAGCCUUUUCUUCGGAACAUCGGAGACAGGUGGUGCAUGGUUGUCGUCAGCUCGUGUCGUGAGAUGUUGGGUUAAGU